AUGCUACGGAUCCAUUCAGGCGAUCGGUUUGUAGUUUCGUCGAUCGUACAUGCUCAAUUUCUUGUUCCCGUUUGGAGUUGUUUUGGACGAAUUUUGUCAGAUUCGUCUAGCACAAUCGAUUGUUUGAAAUUUCCUUUGACCAGCAGCCUAAUCUCACAGUUCUGCACAACAUUUGUAUUGCAAGUUUCCUGUUUCGACGAUCAUAGACGAGAAGAUCUACAUAUUUUUCAUGGCUGUACAUAUGGAUAUGUGUGCUAUGAUUUAAGAUACUGCUUAAUUAUUCCUCUAGCCGGCGUGGUUUCUCUUGAUCUCCUCUCUCGCAUCUUGCUGUGGUAG
rnacentral:rRNA from 1 species